rnacentral:sRNA from 1 species
CGGACGAGACAACGACCACUUCUACCGUAAUGUUGGAUUCCCUCUAAGCCUGCGAGAUUACGAUUAAAUCCUGACCACGCACUGAUUUUGGAGACCCUCGUUCUGGAUAUCGACGGACAAUCAAUCAAUGAUUUCGAGUCAAGCUUACUGGGGUGUUAUCAGAGCAUUCAACUUUGGGAGAUGAGCACUGGCAAUAACGGGGGACGACCACGCCCUCCUCAAGCCGUUGCCUCCAAGUCUGGACCUAUAGCUUCCUCAGCUAAACAGCCAACGCUCGCGGUUCCGUCCUCUAAACCCCCCUCGACUCCUCGAUCACCUUCGCAAACUCUCCAAGCAGGCAAGCCCAGUGCACCAUCCAGCCAAAUCGAUGCAGCCAACGAUAAAGCUACGGCGGCGCUGAUCCGCCGUGUCCUCUGCCCUCAGUCCUCUAACUAUGGGCCAGACCAGCGGGAGCGGGGUACCCCUCGACCCCUGGAAGAGUUGCUUCCUCCCCUUACGAGCUCGAACGAGGUAGAUCUACAGCUGUAUGCUCUAAUUGCGAUCAUAAUUAAAGAGUUCGUUUACGCCUGGUACUCAACGAUUACCCCAGAUCACACUUUUAGCGAUGAAAUUAUCCAAAUUAUCGCCCAUUGCACUCGUGCGCUCGAGCAGAGGCUCCGGCAAGUAGAUGUGGAUGCUUUGGUUUUGGAUGAAAUCCCCGCCUUGGUUGAAGCACAUAUUGUUGCGUUCCGUACCGCCUACCAAAAUCCACACAUGAACCGCUCCGCUUCUUAUCUCCACACGGCUUACCAUACUUUGAACCCACAUCCGGCGCUCUUCCCUGUCCCGGACGCCUCCGAUACGACGGCGAUUGCAGAGCAACAAAAGCGAGAGACAGCAUACCGCCAAUUACUUGCCCAGGGCGUUUUGGCUGUGCUUCUCCCAACCGAAGAUCUGGAGAAUGUCUACUUGAGGACAUUGGUUGGCGAUAUUUUGGCGGAUAUGAUCCUGGGCGAGUUCGUCAGCGACAAAUUGAGCGAUGGUCCAUUUAUCUAUGAACUCCUCACACGGCUCAUCACGGUAAUACAGCAAGACGGCCGUAAAAAUGAACAAGCGGAGCAUAUUCAAAAAGCCGACUGGAGAGGUUUGGCCUUCUUGGCCCC